rnacentral:rRNA from 1 species
AUUGAACGCUGGCGGCAUGCUUUACACAUGCAAGUCGAACGGCAGCGGGUCCUUCGGGAUGCCGGCGAGUGGCGAACGGGUGAGUAAUAUAUCGGAACGUGUCCUGAAGUGGGGGAUAACGCAUCGAAAGAUGCGCUAAUACCGCAUAAUCUCUGAGGAGAAAAGUGGGGGAUCGAAAGACCUCAUGCUUUUGGAGCGGCCGAUGUCUGAUUAGCUAGUUGGUAGGGUAAUGGCCUACCAAGGCGACGAUCAGUAGUUGGUCUGAGAGGAUGGCCAGCCACACUGGGACUGAGACACGGCCCAGACUCCUACGGGAGGCAGCAGUGGGGAAUUUUGGACAAUGGGCGCAAGCCUGAUCCAGCAAUGCCGCGUGAGUGAAGAAGGCC